rnacentral:rRNA from 1 species
CAGCAGCCGCGGGAAUACGUAGGUCCCGAGCGUUGUCCGGAUUUAUUGGGCGUAAAGCGAGCGCAGGCGGUUAGAUAAGUCUGAAGUUAAAGGCUGUGGCUUAACCAUAGUACGCUUUGGAAACUGUUUAACUUGAGUGCAGAAGGGGAGAGUGGAAUUCCAUGUGUAGCGGUGAAAUGCGUAGAUAUAUGGAGGAACACCGGUGGCGAAAGCGGCUCUCUGGUCUGUAACUGACGCUGAGGCUCGAAAGCGUGGGGAGCGAACAGGAUUAGAUACCCGUGUAGUCCCUGUCUCUUAUACA